UUUAAGAAAAAAUUAAUUUUGCAAAUUAAUUUAGAUGCUUAAAG
rnacentral:tRNA from 1 species